GGGGUUGGCUCUAACGAAUUUGAAUGAGGAGCCUCAGCGCUUUCGGCGCCAUUUUCGAGUGAUGCCUGAUCUCAUCAAUCUAGCGGGAGAGACAGGAUAACCUGUCCGAGAGUAUAGCGCCACUAUGACUCCGCCGGAAAAAUUACUUUAAAAAUCGCCAAAAAUUACUUGGAGCAAAGGGCAGUCGGCGGAGCUUCGCCAAGGCUGGCGCAGUCGUGUAUAAAGCCAAAUGUCCCAUUUAAAGUUUGACAUUUGCAAUAGCAUUCUAUUUAAAAGGUUUAAUAAUGAUAGAAUGAAGACCACAAUAAAAGAGACCUCUACUUAGCUCAGCAAUUCUUACCUUUCUUACCUAUUUGAUGAAGAUGUCUUUUGAAAGGUGUACUGCAAGGAACAAAAUGUUUGUAAAUUCUCCUUUUACCAAGGUAAAGAUCAAAUUUUAUAAAUUUACUUGUUUGUUUAUACAAGGAAAAAUAACUUCAUAUAUUGAAUAUAUUCAAAAGUUUAAGCAUUUAGUUGUAUUGCCCUGUUAAGUUGGCAUAGCAAAUAAAUGCUUUUCUUUUCCUCAUUUUAUUCUUUGUGUUUCCUAACCUAUAGCACUGUGCUGGGCACAGAAUGGACUUCAGUUAAGUUUUUGAUGUAGAAAUGUUUUAUUAUUCUACUUAAAAUCUCCUUAAAAAUAAUUAUGCAUAUUACAUCAAUGUUAUAAUGUUUAAACAUAGAUUUUUUUACAUGCAUUCUUUUUUUCCUGAAAGAAAAUAUUUUUUAUAUUCUUUAGGCGCGAAUGUGUGUUUAAAAAAAAUAAAACCUUGGAGUAAAG
rnacentral:lncRNA from 1 species